CGGACGGGUGAGUAAUGCUUAGGAAUCUGCCCAUGUAGUGGGGGGACAACCUGGUGAAAACCAGGCUAAUACCGCAUAAGCCCUUCGGGGGAAAGCAGGGGAUCUUCGGACCUUGCGCUAUUGGAUGAGCCUAAGUCGGAUUAGCUUGUUGGUGGGGUAACGGCCUACCAAGGCGACGAUCCGUAGCUGGUCUGAGAGGAUGAUCAGCCACACUGGGACUGAGACACGGCCCAG
rnacentral:rRNA from 1 species